rnacentral:rRNA from 1 species
AGAGUUUGAUCCUGGCUCAGAUUGAACGCUGGCGGCAUGCCUAACACAUGCAAGUCGAACGUGAAAGCCCUUCGGGGUGAGUAGAGUGGCGGACGGGUGAGUAACGCGUGGGAAUCUACCUUGUAGUGGGGGACAACCCGAGGAAACUCGGGCUAAUACCGCAUACGUCUUACGAGAGAAAGGGGGCCUUUUGGGGCUCUUGCUACAGGAUGAGCCCGCGUCCGAUUAGCUAGUUGGUGAGGUAAAGGCUCACCAAGGCGACGAUCGGUAACUGGUCUGAGAGGAUGGCCAGUCACACUGGGACUGAGACACGGCCCAGACUCCUACGGGAGGCAGCAGUGGGGAAUAUUGGACAAUGGGCGCAAGCCUGAUCCAGCAAUGCCGCGUGUGUGAAGAAGGCCUGCGGGUUGUAAAGCACUUUCAGUGGGGAAGAAAGGUUUGAGGUUAAUACCCUUGGAUUUUGACGUUACCCACAGAAGAAGCACCGGCUAACUCCGUGCCAGCAGCCGCGGUAAUACGGAGGGUGCGAGCGUUAAUCGGAAUCACUGGGCGUAAAGCGCGCGUAGGCGGCAGAGUCAGUCAGAUGUGAAAGCCCCGGGCUCAACCUGGGAAUGGCAUUUGAAACUGCUCAGCUAGAGUAUGGUAGAGGGAAGUGGAAUUCCAGGUGUAGCGGUGAAAUGCGUAGAUAUCUGGAGGAACACCGGUGGCGAAGGCGGCUUCCUGGACCAAUACUGACGCUGAAGUGCGAAAGCGUGGGGAGCAAACAGGAUUAGAUACCCUG